rnacentral:rRNA from 1 species
AGAGUUAGAUCCUGGCUCAGGAUGAACGCUGGCGGUCUGCUUAACACAUGCAAGUCGAACGGGACUCGAUUGAGUUCAGUGGCGGACGGGUGAGUAACGCGUGAGAAUCUGCCUAGAGGUUGGGGACAACCACUGGAAACGGUGGCUAAGACCCAAUGUGCCGCAACGUGAAAGAUUUAUCGCCUCUAGAUGAGCUCGCGUCUGAUUAGCUAGUUGGUGAGGUAAAAGCUCACCAAGGCGACGAUCAGUAGCUGGUCUGAGAGGAUGACCAGCCACACUGGGACUGAGACACGGCCCAGACUCCUACGGGAGGCAGCAGUGGGGAAUUUUCCGCAAUGGGCGAAAGCCUGACGGAGCAAGACCGCGUGAGGGAGGAAGGCUCUUGGGUUGUAAACCUCUUUUCUCAGGGAAGAACACAAUGACGGUACCUGAGGAAUCAGCCUCGGCUAACUCCGUGCCAGCAGCCGCGGUAAUACGGAGGAGGCAAGCGUUAUCCGGAAUUAUUGGGCGUAAAGCGUCCGUAGGUGGUCAUGUAAGUCGGUCGUCAAAGCACAGGGCUUAACCCUGUAAUGGCGGUGGAAACUGCACGACUAGAGAGAGGUAGGGGUAGAGGGAAUUCCCAGUGUAGCGGUGAAAUGCGUAGAGAUUGGGAAGAACAUCGGUGGCGAAAGCGCUCUACUGGACCUGAUCUGACGCUGAUGGACGAAAGCUAGGGGAGCGAAUGGGAUUAGAUACCC